rnacentral:rRNA from 1 species
CAGCAGCCGCGGGAAUACGUAGGGUGCGAGCGUUAAUCGGAAUUACUGGGCGUAAAGCGUGCGCAGGCGGUUUGUUAAGACAGAUGUGAAAUCCCCGGGCUUAACCUGGGAACUGCAUUUGUGACUGGCAAGCUAGAGUAUGGCAGAGGGGGGUGGAAUUCCGCGUGUAGCAGUGAAUUGCGUAGAUAUGCGGAGGAACACCGAUGGCGAAGGCAGCCCCCUGGGCCAAUACCGACGCUCAUGCACGAAAGCGUGGGGAGCAAACAGGAUUAGAUACCCCCGUAGUCCCUGUCUCUUAUAC